UACGUAGGGUGCAAGCGUUAAUCGGAAUUACUGGGCGUAAAGCGUGCGCAGGCGGCUUUGCAAGACAGAUGUGAAAUCCCCGGGCUUAACCUGGGAACUGCAUUUGUGACUGCAUGGCUGGAGUGCGGCAGAGGGGGAUGGAAUUCCGCGUGUAGCAGUGAAAUGCGUAGAUAUGCGGAGGAACACCGAUGGCGAAGGCAGCCCCCUGGGUCAAGACUGACGCUCAUGCACGAAAGCGUGGGGAGCAAACAGG
rnacentral:rRNA from 1 species